rnacentral:rRNA from 1 species
UUCCGGUUGAUCCCGCCGGAGGCGACCGCUUUUGGAGUUCGAUUAAGCCAUGCGAGUCGAGAGCUUUCAGAGCUCGGCAUGCUGCUCAGUAACACGUGGAUAACCUGCCCUAUUGUCUGGGAUAACCUCGGGAAACUGAGAACAAUGCCGGAUAGCCCACAAUGCCUGGAACGGUUUGUGGGUGAAGAUAGGAUGGGUCUGCGGCGUAUCAGGUCGUAGGGGGUGUAAUGGACCUCCUAGCCAUCGACGCGUACGGGUGUUGGGAGACAUAGCCCGGAGAUGGAUUCUGAGACACGAAUCUAGACCCUAUGGGGUGCAGCAGGCGCGAAAACUUCACACUGCAGGAAACUGUGAUGAGGGAACUCCAAGUGCUAUCACCAUGUGGUAGCUUUUCUUAACUAUUAAUCGGUUUUGGAAUAAGGGCUGGGAAAGACCGGUGCCAGCCGCCGCGGUAAUACCGGCAGCUCAAGUGGUCGUCGCUUUUAUUGGGCCUAAAACGUCCGUAGCCUGUUUGGUAAAUCUGUGGGUAAAUCAACCAGCUUAACUGGUUGAAUUCUGCAGAGACUGCCAGACUAGGGACCGGGAGAGGUGUGGGGUACUCUAGGGGUAGGGGUAAAAUCCUGUCAUCCUUAGAGGACCACCAGUUGCGAAGGCGCCACACUGGAACGGAUCCGACGGUCAGGGACGAAGCCUAGGGGCACGAACCGGAUUAGAUACCCGGGUAGUCCUAGGUGUAAACGCUGUGAACUUGGUGUCGGGGAUCCGUAAUGGGUUCUCGGUGCCGGAGUGAAGAUGUUAAGUUCACUGCCUGGGGAGUACGGUCGCAAGGUUGAAACUUAAAGGAAUUGGCGGGGCAGCAC